GGCUAUUGCGGGAGGUGGGGGAAGUGACAGAGCCGCGCGCUCUGUCACUUUCCCCACCUCCCGCAAAAGCC
rnacentral:miRNA from 1 species